GACGAACGCUGGCGGCGUGCUUAACACAUGCAAGUCGAACGAAGAGCGAUGGAAGCUUGCUUCUAUCAAUCUUAGUGGCGAACGGGUGAGUAACGCGUAAUCAACCUGCCCUUCAGAGGGGGACAACAGUUGGAAACGACUGCUAAUACCGCAUACGAUCUGACCUCGGCAUCGAGGAUAGAUGAAAGGUGGCCUCUACAUGUAAGCUAUCACUGAAGGAGGGGAUUGCGUCUGAUUAGCUAGUUGGAGGGGUAACGGCCCACCAAGGCGAUGAUCAGUAGCCGGUCUGAGAGGAUGAACGGCCACAGUGGGACUGAGACACGGCCCAGACUCCUACGGGAGGCAGCAGUGGGGAAUCUUCCGCAAUGGACGAAAGUCUGACGGAGCAACGCCGCGGGAGGGAUGACGGCCUUCGGGUUGGAAAGCUCGGUUAAUCGGGACGAAAGGCCUUUUUGCGAAUAGUGAGAAGGAUUGACGGUACCGGAAUAGAAAGCCACGGCUAACUACGUG
rnacentral:rRNA from 1 species